rnacentral:hammerhead_ribozyme from 1 species
AUCCAGCUGACGAGUUCCAAACAAGACGAAACGUGCAUUUUGUAU